rnacentral:rRNA from 1 species
GACGAACGCUGGUGGCAUGCCUAAUACAUGCAAGUCGAGCGAACAGAUGAAGUGCUUGCACUUCUGACGUUAGCGGCGAACGGGUGAGUAACACGUAAGGAAUCUACCUAUAAGCGGGGGAUAACAUUCGGAAACGGGUGCUAAUACCGCAUAAUAUUUUCUUCCGCAUGGAAGAAAAUUGAAAGACGGCUCUGCUGUCCUUUAUAGAUGACCUUGCGGUGCAUUAGUUAGUUGGUGGGGUAACGGCCUACCAAGACGAUGAUGCAUAGCCGACCUGAGAGGGUGAUCGGCCACAUUGGGACUGAGACACGGCCCAAACUCCUACGGGAGGCAGCAGUAGGGAAUCUUCCGCAAUGGGCGAAAGCCUGACGGAGCAAUGCCGCGUGAGUGAGGAAGGCCUUCGGGUCGUAAAACUCUGUUAUAAGAGAAGAACAAAUUGUAGAGUAACUGCUACAGUCUUGACGGUAUCUUAUCAGAAAGCCACGGCUAACUACGUGCCAGCAGCCGCAGUAA